AUGUGAAACCAAAGGCCCCUAAUGCUAUGACCAAAGUCUGAAGCUUUCUAUGAGAUGCCAGACACUCAAUAGUGCACUUUUUCUGAAAAUAUAUAAGA
rnacentral:snoRNA from 1 species